rnacentral:lncRNA from 1 species
AAAGUUUUGGAGAGAAAGUGACUGCAUGUUGGCAAUGUAGUACACUAGUGUUUCAUGGUUUUUGAAAUCUGAAUUCUUUAAAUGAUAGGUUUGAUUUCUAAUAGAUUGUGGAAAUUUAUUGUCACUCUAUAGACAUGAGAAUCUCUGAUACCAGCUAAUGUUUUCAUUGCUUUCUUUGUUGAUUUCAAAUAGAUCAGAGGUUGGAUUUAUGCAAACUUGGGCCAAAGGACAGUUAGAAGACGACGGAGUUUCACUCUUGUCGCCCAGGCUGAUUAAAAAGCACAGAAAGCCGAACAAGACCCAACCAAAUUUGGUAAUUCAUCCGAUUCAAAAUUGUUUUGGUUAAAUCAAAAAUACAAGUACACGACCGCAGGAAA